UACGAAGGGGGCUAGCGUUGCUCGGAAUUACUGGGCGUAAAGCGCACGUAGGCGGCUUUCUAAGUCGGGGGUGAAAUCCUGGAGCUCAACUCCAGAACUGCCUUCGAUACUGGAGUGCUUGAGUCCGGGAGAGGUGAGUGGAACUGCGAAGUGUAGAGGUGAAAUUCGUAGAUAUUCGCAAGAACACCAGUGGCGAAGGCGGCUCACUGGCCCGGUACUGACGCUGAGGUGCGAAAGCGUGGGGAGCGAACAGG
rnacentral:rRNA from 1 species